CAGAACAGGGCCAAGGGCCAAGCUGUGGCCUUAAGCCAAUAUCUUGAGGUCAGGAAAAGAAGAAAUUCAACGUAAGGAAUGACAGUGAGCUAGGAAAAGCAGAAAGGAUGUGACCAACUGUGUCAAAUGCUGCUGAGACGUAAAACAUGAUGAAGUCCAAGAAUUGACUGGAGGGUCUGGAUGGCCGAUACUAGGCAUGCAUGUGCAUACAGAAAAGAGAGUAACCCAAUAGUGAGGAAGAAAUUGAUGCUGCAGGAGAGAGGGAAUAAUUGCCGAAGCAAAGAUCUUGAGGUACUGAGAAAGGAUGACCCUAAUUUCCUUAAUGCUGCACCAUAUGAUCAGGACGACAGGAGUUGAUUGACCUGCAUCAAACAUUACCUACUAGUCUCCCUCACACAAAACAAAGUAAAAGAGGAGAAUUGGAAGAAAGCAAUACCACUGCAGCCACACUGGGUGCAAGCUUUGAGAAUUCUGGGACUUUGUACACGAGUGAACCAGAGAGAACCUGUGGUGUGCUGGGAAAACCCAUAGGCCCUGCAGAAACAUCUAAUUAGUGUUGAUUUUGAGUAGAGGUUCUCUCUGAGAUACUUCAUCUGCAAAACAAGGAAUGAUACCAGUUCCCUUCCAGGGAUGCCAUAGAAUCGAAUGAGAGUGAUUUAAGCAUAAUACUCACUCAUG
rnacentral:lncRNA from 10 species